GACCACAGCUCAGUUGGCAGAGCAUUGGGUUAGUAUUCCAAAGGUCGUGGGGUCGAUUCCCACUGUGGCCA
rnacentral:tRNA from 1 species